UUCAUCGUACAUCGGUAAAAAAAAAAAUCUCUCCUUUUUCAUUACUUUUUUUUUUCUCAAAUAAUUUUGAGAAGCCAAGGAAACGUAAUGGGUUCGUACUCAAUAGCAAGUACUAUAUCUCGAAUUGCGACUCUAACCCGUUUCGUUAAACCUUAUUCCAUCGAUUUUUCUUACAUCAAUUGCCCUUGCAACAGAGCUCACAGGCCAAAGAGAUUUGAUCAGCUUCGUGUGUUCUCUAUGGCGUCGGAAGCGAAGGAAUCAGCAGCAAACAACCCUGGCUUGUCAACGGUUCGGGAUGAGGCUACCAAAGGGUAUAUCAUGCAGCAGACUAUGUUUCGGGUGAAGGACCCUAAGGCUAGUCUUGACUUUUACUCACGUGUCCUGGGAAUGUCAUUGCUCAAGAGGCUAGAUUUCUCUGAGAUGAAGUUCAGCUUGUACUUCCUGGGCUACGAGGAUACUUCGACAGCUCCAACAGAUCCUACUGAGAGAACUGUUUGGACCUUUGGUCGACCUGCAACAAUUGAGCUGACUCACAACUGGGGCACAGAGAGUGAUCCUGAGUUUAAAGGCUAUCAUAAUGGAAACUCCGAGCCUCGUGGAUUUGGGCAUAUUGGGGUUACAGUUGAUGAUGUGCACAAGGCAUGCGAGAGAUUUGAACAACUGGGAGUAGAGUUCGUCAAGAAACCGAAUGAUGGAAAGAUGAAGAAUAUAGCCUUCAUCAAGGAUCCUGAUGGCUACUGGAUCGAGAUCUUUGAUCUCAAGACUAUCGGGACAACAGCCGGAAACGCAGCUUGAAGUAGUUCCACUUGUGCUGUUUGUGUUCUUGUGUUCAUUCCACCUGAGUUUGAAAUUCAAAUAAAGAUGUUUCCUGUCUCAACGAAUAAGAGAAAAUGACAUUAUUCUCAAUGUGGUCUGUUUCUUGGUCUUUACAAUGAGUUGAGUUAAAUAAGUUGUUAUCAAUGAGAAUCAAUGUUCUACUUGUUUCUUGAUAUAUUUUGAUUGUUAUUUGGUACAAGAAUGAACUAACCAUUAUACA